AAAUUGAAGAGUUUGAUCAUGGCUCAGAUUGAACGCUGGCGGCAGGCCUAACACAUGCAAGUCGAGCGGAAACGACAACAUUGAAUCUUCGGAGGAUUUGUUGGGCGUCGAGCGGCGGACGGGUGAGUAAUGCCUAGGAAAUUGCCUUGAUGUGGGGGAUAACCAUUGGAAACGAUGGCUAAUACCGCAUAAUGCCUACGGGCCAAAGAGGGGGAUCUUCGGACCU
rnacentral:rRNA from 1 species